CGCAUCUGUGCAUGCAGCAUAUCAAUAAGCGGAGGAAAAGAAACUAACAAGGAUUCCCCUAGUAACGGCGAGUGAAGCGGGAAGAGCUCAAAUUUGAAAUCUUAAAGGGUUUCCCUUUACGAAUUGUAGUUUAAAGAAGUGUUUUCUGUUGAGGUUUUGGUAAAAGUUCUUUGGAAUAGGACAUCAUAGAGGGUGAGAAUCCCGUAUUUGACCUUUACUUUCAACUUUGUGAUACACUUUCAAAGAGUCGGAUUGUUUGGGAAUGCAGUCCAAAAUGGGUGGUAAAUUUCAUCUAAAGCUAAAUAUUGGCGAGAGACCGAUAGCGAACAAGUACCGUGAGGGAAAGAUGAAAAGAACUUUGAAAAGAGAGUUAAACAGUACGUGAAAUUGUCAAAAGGGAAGCGUUUGACACCAGUGUUGUUUUUCUGAAAAUCAAUUAAAGAACUGUUUAUGCUAAGCUGUUUAGACUUUAUCAGCUAUCUGUUUAGUUUUGAGCUUUUCUUUAAUGCACUUUUCAGUUAACAAGUCAACAUCAAUUUCUUUUGCUGUAAAAAAGCUUGAGGAAGGUGGCUUGAGAUUCGUCUUAAGUGUUUAUAGCCUCUUGCCUAUGCAGUCGGAGAGAUUGAGGUCUGCAGCGUAGAUCCCUUCGGGGCUAAAUGCAUUUGUGCUAAGUUAUAGCAUUUUAUAGACAACUUGUUGACUAUGAUUUGUCUUGUAGCUUACUCGCUUAUGUUAUUUUACCUACGCUUAGGAUGUUGAGUCGUAGAGCACGCAG
rnacentral:rRNA from 1 species